AUUUUACGUAAUCUUUCAUAGAUUAAAAAAAUAUUUGUAUGUUAGACGUAGUGGCUAAUCGUGAUAAAAUUAAUAGGUAUUUUUGUAUAAACAAUCUACAUCCUGAUUCACCUUUCAUUUUCGCUCGAUAUUAUUACUUAUUGUUAGUAAUAUAUUUAUCGUAAUUAAGAGCUGACUAGAUUACGCACCAAAACACCCUCCAUCGGUGAAUACAUGAGUUUUUUUCGACUACCCUCACAAUAUUCGUAAAAUUGAAUUUCUAUGGAUAUAUGGUUUAACUAAGAGUUGGCGAAGCAAACGCCUUCGUCCUUAAUGGAACUUUAGUUAUUACUAACUUACUAGGUAGUACAAUACAUACUUAUUUAUUUUUAUGAAUUAAACUGCUUAGUACGUA